AUAUUUGAAACAUCCUAGGCUUGUAUUAAUUUGUCAUAUACUGUCAUGGCAACCCACAACAGAAAUGCACGGAAAAGGGAUCCCGAUUCGGAGGCGGAAAACCAAAUUGGAAAUGUGAACAGAGAAAGAAGUGCAUUACUUGACGAGCUUAGAAAAUACUUCAUGGAUCACGUGGUUAUUUCUGUUUCUGAACAGAAGCGUGCCAAAUCUGUAGUAGAAAAGAUUAAACAGGUUUUUCAAAGUUAUAUAAAAACAUCAUGUGAUCAUGAUUUUGGAAACAUCUUUCAUCAAGGAAGCUCGUACGAAGGACUGAAGGUUAUAAAAGAAGACGAAUUUGACCUACUGGUUCCUCUGAAGAUGGUCACCGUUGGUGUGUGGGAAGCAGUCGAAGCUACAGGGGUCAAUGGGUGCAAUGCUCCAGGAUAUUACUUCAUAAAAAAAGCUGAGAAACAUAUAGCAACAAGCUUGGACCGAUGUAUUGUUAAUGGGUAUCUUAACCCGAUAUCCACGUUUCGACACAUGCAGUCACUGGUAGAAGGAGCAACAAGCAGAAUGAACAGAGAACUGACAGGUAUAAAAAUUACCUCAAGCGUAAGUGGACCAGCCUUAACCCUGAACGUUGUAUACGGGGGUAACGAAAGACUGUCGGUCGAUAUUGUGCCAUGCAUAGAGCUUGGUGGCAAUGAAUACGUUGCAAAGAGGCACCCUAAGGCUGAGAAGCAGAACUCUAGGCAUGCACCAGGACAGAAUAUCUUUGACCAGCUCUGGCGUAGAAGUUACACAAAGAAGGAGCAGAUAAUUGUCCGUGAGAUGGACUGGGAGCAUGAAUGCCGUCGAACAUGUCUGAAGAUCCUGAAGACAAUCCAGAAGAAGAGAGGUUCCUCUCAACUUGGAAUGCUGUCAUCCUACCACCUCAAGACCUGCAUGUUGCAUCUCAACGAUGACACAAGUAUUGGGUCAUGGCAUCAGGAUAACCUUCAUCAUCGAUUUAAAGAUCUGCUCUGGAAACUAAUUAAGUUCCUAGAGGAUCGUAACUUGCCAAAUUUCUAUAACCCAUCUGAAAAUCUUUUUGAGAAGUAUUCGGAGGAAUCACUCCGCAACAUCUUGCGUUGGCUGAGGGGUAUCAUGAGAACCGACCAAAAUAUAAUAGAUGAUCUAUUACAUGGAAGAGACUACCAGGAUAUUACUGACAACAAUUUCCAGGUUUUCGUGAGGACCACAAACGGGAAUACACUGACGUUCAGUAAUAUGAAGAAGACAACUCUAGUGCGGGAGUUAAAACAGAAAAUCCAGCUGAAAACUGGAAUACUCCCGAAUCAGCAAUUGUUGGUUUUUGGCGGAAAGAAUUUGGAGGAUCAUCGCAGCUUAGAUUUUUACGGGAUUGGUAAUGAGAGUACUAUCCAGAUGACGGGACGCCUGCGCGGAGGCUAGAUCUGCAAAAUCAAACAAGAAGCUUCGUUGGCUACGAAAUGAAAGAACUGUUCUAAUACAAAUGAAAAGUUAACAGAUAUAAAUAUUUUAACUACAAAAUACUGAAUAUUGCCCAAGAGUUGUAUUUAACAUAAUUACAAUUCCUAGAUAUGUUGUUACAUAACUUAAUAGUACCCUUCCUUUAUUCUUCCUUUGUUUUAAUAUCAUGUAUUUAAUAUAUUUUAAUAUAUAAAAAAGUUAUGUAAAUAAUGUUGAUAUUUACUCUUUCUUUGCUCUAGUACAGUAUUAUACAUUAAAUUAUUUUUUUUAAUAUAAAACAAUAUGUGUACAUUAUGAAGCGCAUUACACAAUUGUAUUAAAUAAUUCAAUAAUGCCAAUAAUAGAAAUAAUAUAAUAUGCCUAAGUGUACUUGUAUCUUUCCGCUAAGCCCCGCCCACCCACUCCCCCUGUGAAAUUGUUGCUUAGCAGUGUAGGGCGCGCGCGUAUUCCUGGCAUUGUUCUGAUUGGUCAGUUGUUAAGUUUGAUUGACACUCAUUACUAGAAGCUUGAAUAAAAUUAUUUCAUAUUAUUGAACUGAUUAAAAUAAAGCAAACGAUUAUUUCCUUAAACAUCAUAAAUUUAUUUGAGUAGAGGAUCAUCGCAGCUUAGACUCUUACGGGAUUGGUAAUGAGAGUACUAUCCAGAUGACAGGACGUCUGCGUGGAGGCUAGCUCUGAAAAAGACUCUUACGUCAUCAUAGAAGGCACAAUUCCAUUUAUCAAAUAUGUUAAUACAGUAGAUCGAUCGUCUAAUUAUCUAAUCAAAACAAAUAUUAAUAGUUUGCAUCUGCUUAGAUAAGUUACAUAGGCCUACACUGUAUUCGAUUGUAUUGAAAUUGGCAUUCGUUUAUGGAAUAAAACAUACACUGACUGUUGAA